rfam:Triticum aestivum genome assembly, contig: Triticum_aestivum_CS42_TGACv1_scaffold_062780_1DL
GUAUUACUCCCUCCGUCCGAAAAAAUUUGUCCCAAGUUUGUCCCUUAGAUGGAUGUAUCUAGUACUAACUUGGUGCUAAAUACAUCCAUUUAAGGGACAAGCUUUUUCGGGCGAAGGGAGUACUUA